rnacentral:rRNA from 1 species
AUGAACGCUAGCGACAGGCCUAACACAUGCAAGUCGAGGGGCAGCACAAGGAGCAAUCUGAGGUGGCGACCGGCGCACGGGUGAGUAACACGUAUGCAACCUGCCUGUAAGCGGGGAAUAACCCGUUGAAAGACGGACUAAUACCGCAUAAUACUAAAUUACUGCAUGGUAAUUUAUUUAAACAUUUAUGGCUUACAGAUGGGCAUGCGCAUGAUUAGCUAGUUGGAGAGGUAACGGCUCCCCAAGGCAACGAUCAUUAGGGUUCUGAGAGGAAGGUCCCCCACACUGGUACUGAGACACGGACCAGACUCCUACGGGAGGCAGCAGUGAGGAAUAUUGGUCAAUGGACGAGAGUCUGAACCAGCCAAGUCGCGUGCAGGAAGAAUGUCCUUAAUGGAUUGUAAACUGCUUUUGCAGGGGAAUAAAGUGCAUCACGUGUGAUGUUUUGUAUGUACUCUGCGAAUAAGGAUCGGCUAACUCCGUGCCAGCAGCUGC